GUAUAUAUGUUCAGCUGGAGGUGUACAAGGCUCAUCUAGGGAAUAUUAUAUUGAAUAUACGCCUUUUUAUUAAACUUAAACUCUCAAUAUUUCCCACUUAAAGAAUGAAACGGCCAGAAGCAUAAACGGCUAAUUUGAUUGGUUUUCAAGAUGCGUCCGUUAUCUAAACGCUGACAUUCUGAUUAUUAAUGUCUUAGUUUUACAGUAUAGUUACGAAGCCCUUCUGGGCUUGAAUUCGCUUGGUAGUCGCUUCGAUUUUAGUGGCCAUCGUAAACGAACACGUUUGCGUCGCCGACUGAACGAGCAGCCAAUUGAGAUACUGUGAGCACAUAAGGAGAUUCGUUUUAGAGCUUUUUUAGUUAGUAUACUAUUUGGGCAGAUUGUCAGGCUGCGUAUACCAACACAGUGGUCAGGUUGACACUUGCUUGUAGCAACUCACUACAUACAAGCUAUAACGGCCCCACGUCUCAAGAGACUGUUCAGCUAUAACAUCGGUAUCCGCUAACCUAUAUACCGUAUCCAGAUCCAUACAACCACUGUUUUUAAAACUCCCGCUAGCUACCAACCGCUCAGCCUGCGCCACGUCGGACACUUCGUUUCUCAGGAUCAAACAUAUACACUGGCUGUUGCUGUACGCUGAUCGAAAGACGAGAGCAGAUUGGAGCCAGCCAGCACUAAGGCACUAUAAUCAGCAUAGCGAUUGCUUCUGACGUUGUUGAUUGCGGCCGUCAGCGGAGCAGACAUCGUCAUAUAACUUUCAUAGAAAAGUUAUAUAGCCACUUACUUAUCUAUCAAACAUUUAAGUUACAGCGGCUGGGUGUUUCUGUCACUGUGAUUCGCUGAAUUGUUUGCGGCGUGAUGGUCGCUAGAAAGCAACUAUAUGACAGAUUAAGUGCACGUUUGAUCUUAGGAACCUGCUAGCUGGAGGACCGGAUGUCGUCACAAACAGAUCCGAAAACAGUAUUGGGUGGCAGAGGUUGUCAACUGAUGGAAGCUGUUAAAUACCGUACUCCACUCGUUUGUCCAUAAAUUUAUAUGCAUUUGAGAGUUUCAAUAUUUCAUCCUUAAGAUAAAAAAAUCGACACAAAAUGAGGAAGGAUUAAUACUACUUUUAUUUGUUAGACAAACUUGUUGUCAUCGUUUCGUGCCGAUUACCAGAGUUCUGGUUUUGAACAUUUCUCACGCUACACCUUCAACGUUGUGUAUAACAGAGAAAGACAGUAGCAAUAUAACACAAGAAGAAAAAGAAAGGAGAAUUAAAAACUAACCUUCAAAAUGCUUGGUGUGAAAUUUAGCAAGACACGAUUGAAGAUAACGGCUAUUGUUCUCUCGGUUUACACAUUUUCUAGUAUUUUCUAGCUAUUUUUUGUCCGCUUUUUUUUACAUAUUGAUGUCCUCUUUAAUGGCACUUUCUAUGACUGGUAAGUCGUUCUUUCUUUCGAAAUGUUUAGCUUCAAUGCGUUAUUUGAUGUUGUUAGAACUUUAAGAUAUUUUUAAAUAUGAAAGUAUGUGUCGUAUAGUAAUGUAUUUAUUGUCGAAACUCUUCAGACCAACUCAGCGGGCCGAAAAUAUGGAACAGAAAUUAUACUGACAGCAAUUUGAAGAGUAUAUGUGGUCUGCUUUUGUCUAACGCCAUUUUGUUUUAACUCUGCUGUUGUAAACGGCACACACCGACUUACACUUCGUUUAUGGGGACGAUGCGUUUCAAAAUGGUUCUUUUGGUUGAUGAUAAUUAUAUAUACUAAAUAGCUAAGGUACACCGUCCAUAAUUUCACUUAUUCGGGGUUCGGAUUGAAAGGGAUCUUUUCUUUAUUUUCAGUAUUUCUAUUAAAAUUUCAUAAUGUGUUUUCGAGAAUCUCGUAUGGAUCCGACAAAGAAAACAUUGUCCAUGUUUUGCUUUAUUUUCGCAAUCAGGGCAAUUCGACCGUCAUUCUGAGGUCCCGAGUUAUAGUCAGCAUGUUAUAGUAAACUUUUAAGCCUUUAUUCUGAAAAAACUUUGUUUGUUAACGGGUUGUCUCGCUAGAGAUGUCCUAGCUUAUUGUUUUUCACCAAUUUUCGAUGAAUUCAACUUGGGACCACAAAAUUUCAGUCAGCAACUAUUAGCUUUCUGCGCUAAAUCAUAUUGUUGCCUUUAAACUCUAAUAGCAGCAUCCAGUGAGUCUAUACUAGUAGUUAGCCAGAAACUGUCUGCUAUGAAUGGUCAAAAUUUUGCACGUUUUACCUCGAUCUUCAAAUACGACGCUCACCUUAGUGUAUUAUCUGACAAUGAAGCUAUCUGCCAGUAAACGCAUGUACUCAUCGAGUUUGCUUAGAGCCUAAUGGCUACCGGUGUGCCCUGUACAUGCACCACCGCGUGAACGAUGGACAUCAUCGAAACAAACUCACGAUAGAUUAUCUAUAAAUGAUCUUGUGUCGAGUGACGAUAAGCAUUCCGCGGUUCCGAUACUGAUCUUAAAGUCGAAACCCAACCGACUCGUGGUGAGAAGUACAGAAUAUGUUGUUUUAACCGGCUGUUUGAGGAUUUGUUCGUGCUAUGUCAGUGUUACCGAGAUGUGGCAAAGCAUUACUGAAGUCGGGGGCUUAUGUUGUAGACCUAUGAGAAACCCGACGGCUGAAUUUUAAGUGACGUAGGUUUAACGCAUGCCCAUGAAGGAAAUUAGCAAUGAAAUCACUCUGUAUU
rnacentral:lncRNA from 1 species